AAGUCGUAACAAGGUCUCCGUUGGUGAACCAGCGGAGGGAUCAUUACCGAGUUUACAACUCCCAAACCCCUGUGAACAUACCAAUCGUUGCUUCGGCGGGUCUCGCCCCGGCGCCCUCGGGCCCGGACUCAGGCGCCCGCCGGAGGACCUAAACUCUUGUUUUUACGAGUAUCUUCUGAGUGACACAAGUAAAUGAAUCAAAACUUUCAACAACGGAUCUCUUGGUUCUG
rnacentral:misc_RNA from 1 species